UACGUAGGGUGCGAGCGUUAAUCGGAAUUACUGGGCGUAAAGCGUGCGCAGGCGGUCUUGUAAGACAGGUGUGAAAUCCCCGGGCUCAACCUGGGAAUUGCAUCUGUGACUGCAAGGCUAGAGUGCGGCAGAGGGGGAUGGAAUUCCGCGUGUAGCAGUGAAAUGCGUAGAUAUGCGGAGGAACACCGAUGGCGAAGGCAAUCCCCUGGGCCUGCACUGACGCUCAUGCACGAAAGCGUGGGGAGCAAACAGG
rnacentral:rRNA from 1 species